UGGGGAAUUUUGGACAAUGGGCGAAAGCCUGAUCCAGCAAUGCCGCGUGUGUGAAGAAGGCCUUCGGGUUGUAAAGCACUUUUGUCCGGAAAGAAAUGGCUCUGGUUAAUACCUGGGGUCGAUGACGGUACGGGAAGAAUAAGGACCGGCUAACUACGUGCCAGCAGCCGCGGUAAUACGUAGGGUCCAAGCGUUAAUCGGAAUUACUGGGCGUAAAGCGUGCGCAGGCGGUUGUGCAAGACCGAUGUGAAAUCCCCGGGCUUAACUUGGGAAUUGCAUUGGUGACUGCACGGCUAGAGUGUGUCAGAGGGGGGUAGAAUUCCACGUGUAGCAGUGAAAUGCGUAGAGAUGUGGAGGAAUACCGAUGGCGAAGGCAGCCCCCUGGGAUAACACUGACGCUCAUGCACGAAAGCGUGGGGAGCAAACAGG
rnacentral:rRNA from 1 species